AUUGAACGCUGGCGGCAGGCCUAACACAUGCAAGUCGAACGAGUGGCGGACGGGUGAGUAAUGUCUGGGAAACUGACUGAUGGAGGGGGAUAACUACUGGAAACGGUAGCUAAUACCGCAUACCAUCAGAUGUGCCCAGAUGGGAUUCGCUUGUUGGUGGGGUAACGGCUAACCAAGGCGACGAUCCCUAGCUGGUCUGAGAGGAUGACCAGCCACACUGGAACUGAGACCUGGUCCAUACUCCUCAGGGAGGCAGCAGUGGGGAAUAUUGCACAAGGGGCGCAAGCCUGAGGCAGCCAUGCCGCGGGUAUGAAGAAGGCCUUCGGGUUGGAAAGUACUUUCAGCGGGGAGGCGUUACCCGCAGAAGAAGCACCGGCUAACUCCGUGCCAGCAGCCGCGGUAAUAC
rnacentral:rRNA from 1 species